GCCGACACUCCAGUGCCAGAGUGUUAGCCAGUUAUGGUAUCUGUUGUUACUAGCCAUCCUCUGACCAACCUGUUUCUUGAAGUAACUAAUUUCGUGUAACCUCUUCCCAGGUUGCCCCUCCGUGACGCCUUGGCCGCCUGACCCGAGUUACUGGCUGGAGGGUUCUUCCACCCUGGAUUCCUGUUCUUCCGCUACCAGCCCACCUCCCUUCCCUGAGCCCCGGCCUCGCGGACCCACUAGUCCCAGAGCUCCAGCCGAGCUUUCCCCUGUAAAUCCUCAAAUCCCAGAGAUCCAGCCCUUGCCAGAGAGAAUAAGAGAGAGACACCUCACCUUCACCUGUACAUAUCUGCACGUUGUUUUUCUAAUAAAUUUCCCUACCUGA